rnacentral:rRNA from 1 species
AAACUAACCAGGAUUCCCCUAGUAACGGCGAGUGAAGCGGGAUGAGCUCAAGCUUAAAAUCUCUGUGCAAGUUUUGCACGGCGAAUUGUAGUCUAUGGAGGCGCUGUCAGUGCGGCCACUUGGGGUAAGUUCCUUGGAAGAGGACAGCAUCGAGGGUGAUACUCCCGUUUGUACCUGAGUGUGUUGUGCGUACGACACGUUUUCUUCGAGUCGCGUUGUUUGGGACUGCAGCGCAAAGUAGGUGGUAAAUUCCAUCUAAAGCUAAAUAUUGGUGCGAGACCGAUAGCGAACAAGUACCGUGAGGGAAAGAUGAAAAGAACUUUGAAAAGAGAGUUAAAGAGUACCUGAAACUGCUGAAAGGGAAGCGAAUCGUAUCCAGUGUCUAUAAUCCUUGGCAUAUUUCAUUGGCGAGUGUGCGUGUGUUGAGUGUGGGAAGCGGCGUGAGUUGCUCUCUGCUUGGCGUUUUGCGUGUGCUUGCUGGUGCCCUGUGUCUUGGUGGGACGUCAGAGUCAGUUCGUAUGCUGCGGGAAAUGGCUGUGGAGGAGGUAGGUCGGGGUUCGCCUCGGCUGUUAUAUCUCUGCGGCUAGUGGUCGUGGUUGGGACUGAGGUGCCUUACAACGUGCUUUUUGGGUCUGUCGGGCUCUCGUUUCUCAGUCUGUCUGGAUAGCUUGCUAUGCUGACGGUUUUGUGUGGAGGCGAUGGAGUCUGGCGGUAACUUUAGUCGUUCGGGACUUUGACGAAAUGGAGCGAUUCGGC